CAGAACGGGUCCUGGGUUUGGUUUAUCCGGGUCUUGACAACUGUGCAGUGGUCGGAGGGAGGUGGGGGUGGUGCGGGAGAGAGCAGAGCGAGUGACAGAGCGUUAGCAAGGAGAGGUGGGUGACAGUAGUUCUUUUUUUCUUAGCAAGGAGAGGUGGAGGGACUGCGCUCGCGCCGUGGCCGCCGGCUGCGUCGUGGCCGCCGCCUCCUUAGUAGUAGGUGUGACUUUAUAAGAAAACAUGUCUUCCACGGACAAUCUAGCUGACAGAUGUAACGGAAAACUCUUUUGUAUCUCCCUAGAAAGACCGUAGACGAGAAUGCACUUCGAUCUUAGCGCCUCCCCCACGAGACUAUCCAGAUACGUGGGACACAGCUAGAGGAAAGUUGGGAAGUGACGUUGAGGGCGCCCGCUAAAAGGGAGCUCCUGGUGAUUACACUCCAGAGCGCCACUAAAACAGUUCAACGGUUGUCAACCUUCUUCAUCACCUAUGGCACGGUACUUAAGGCCUGGUUUAAGACGAAGGUCCAGACGUUGCUGACCCCUUGUCCUAAAACGACACCCUCUCUUACUACCACACUAGUAUCAGCUGGUACCCAGUGCCGCUGUCCUUAGAUUAGAGUACGAUUUGCUAAAACAAUGAUACAAGUCCCGUUCCUGACCUAUGUCCUAACAACUCGGACGAGUGUACCUCGAGCGACUCGGAUGGUAAUUUCUUCGUAAACCUUUUACACAGGUCGUUCCGCGUAGGGCGUAAUAACAGUCGGGUAUAAAGGAAAGUGGACCUGCCGUGACCUUUGUUCUAUAUGGAAGAAAUCGUCGUCUUCGGAGAUUUCUCGUGAGAUUGCACCGGAUGUAACAGUGACGAGGAGAACCUAACGUACUCGAAUACCACCAUACACGAGUAAUUAAGGGGGUAUCAGAUAGUGUGUUACGUAACACGUCAGAGAGAAUACUCUUGAUGAGGGAGAUAAGGUUUUAUCUACUGAGUUGAAACAUGAUUGAAUCAUGUUUCAACUCAGUAGAUAAAACCUUGCCUCCCUCAUCAACAAUUAGUUUUCAUUUGAUCCACGAGCGACUUUCAACCCUUGACGUAGAAAAUCUGUUGAAUAAGAAGGUCGGGAGGUCUUUUUAGUACUUUUCCUUACACCUAAAAGGAACUAUUCAUCUAGAUGAUUUUGAAGGUGGGAAAACUUAAAGGAUGAAAAAACAACUUCCCUUACAACUUGAAGAGAUGAUCUUUCCGUAUGAUCAAAAAAAAGGACUUGUUACUUAGGUUCUCAAUAACUUGUGCUGCCUAAUUAGAAAGUAAUGGAAUCGUAGGGUAGUACAAUGACACAAUGUAAGAACAUUUAAAAUGAACAUCUAGUGACACCAUACACUAAGAUAUGACAUAGUCAUACAGUGAAACAACGAUAUAAUCAUUCGCCAUACGGUGAUUAGACUUUAAUAGCACUAUUGGACGAAAUUAAACCGUUUUACCAUAAAUAUCUAUCGUUUGGUUUAGCUUAUAUGGUGGAUGAGGUGACAAGUAUAAUAGGUUCCGUUAGAGGAGAGAAAAAAAACUGUUAGUUGUUCUCGUUAGAGGAGAAUUAUGUUCCCCGCUGCGGUCGUUACCAACCACUCAACGAGGUUAGUAAGUCAUAGUAGAGUAUCAUCUAACCAAUGUUUAACGUGCCGUUUUUACAAAGACGUCCUACAAUACUUACUAGCGUAGUUCAUGACGGACUCCGUACAACGUCCGCUACGGCCACUCACACGUCAUACACGACCCUGACCUUUCACGGUGGAGAUGAGGACUAGCACUACUGUACUCUCAACGAGCUUUCAGAUUAGUCCUGCGGAACAAAAACCGAGUAACCGUCGCGUCUAACUACCGACUCCGGUUAUUAAGGUAGAACAAUUGGGUACGAGGAACAAUAGACGGUACGCUAAUCUUUUGUAACAUGGUUGUUACUAGAACCGCCAAAGCAAGUCGAACAUCUAGAUCUCACAAAAGUCGUCAGACUUGUUCUUUGGUACUGCUCACAUUUAAACAGUACAUUUAGUUUCGGACCAUACGUGGUGGUUGUUUAAACAAUACCGUUACAGACCUUACUGCGACGUAGCGGUAGGAGGCGGUUACUCAAUAAGAAAGAGGGACGACGGAAAAAGCGACAGCGACACAUAUGCGACGGGACGGGACGGGAAUGGCAAAUAACAACGAACAACGACGGCCUGACGGCGGAGGAGACAAUU
rnacentral:rRNA from 1 species